UACGUAGGGUCCGAGCGUUGUCCGGAAUUAUUGGGCGUAAAGGGCUCGUAGGCGGUUCGUCACGUCGGGAGUGAAAACUCGGGGCUUAACCCCGAGCCUGCUUCCGAUACGGGCAGACUAGAGGUAGGCAGGGGAGAGCGGAACUCCUGGUGUAGCGGUGGAAUGCGCAGAUAUCAGGGAGAACACCCGUGGCGAAGGCGGCUCUCUGGGACGGUACUGACGCUGAGACGCGAAAGCGUGGGGAGCGAACAGG
rnacentral:rRNA from 1 species